UGGGAUUUGGAUCAAGGCAAAGGCGUAGAUCCAGCAAUGCCGCGUGUGUGAAGAAGGCCCUUCGGGUUGUAAAGCACUUUUGUCCGGAAAGAAAUCCUUGGCUCUAAUACAGUCGGGGGAUGACGGUACCGGAAGAAUAAGCACCGGCUAACUACGUGCCAGCAGCCGCGGUAAUACGUAGGGUGCAAGCGUUAAUCGGAAUUACUGGGCGUAAAGCGUGCGCAGGCGGUUUGCUAAGACCGAUGUGAAAUCCCCGGGCUCAACCUGGGAACUGCAUUUGGUGACUGGCAGGCUAGAGUAUGGCAGAGGGGGGUAGAAUUCCACGUGUAGCAGUGAAAUGCGUAGAGAUGUGGAGGAAUACCGAUGGCGAAGGCAGCCCCCUGGGCCAAUACUGACGCUCAUGCACGAAAGCGUGGGGAGCAAACAGGAUUAGAUACCCUGGUAGUCCACGCCCUAAAACGAUGUCAACUAGUUGUUGGGGAUUCAUUUCCUUAGUAACGUAGCUAAC
rnacentral:rRNA from 1 species